UACAAACCUCCGCCUCGUCCGCCCUGCCGGUGGCGGCCGACGGCCCCUGCCUUCCGGCCUCUGAGAGCAGCUGCGCCGGCAGUGGCCAGAUCCAGCCUGCCGAUGGCCCUUACUUAGGGUUGGUCAUAAUAGAGACGCGCACUGGAUAUUUCCCAGGCGCCCUGGGGCGACGUACAACGGAGCUCCCACAGUCCUCUUCGCCUCCGCUCGGUCCACCCCCAAACUCCGGUAUUAACCCCUUCACGUCCAUGUUCAUUGGCCCAUCGACGCCCCCUGGCACGCAGAUUGCUUCGUGAGAUCCCGGACACCUAAUUGGUAAAAUACAUAAAAGACCGGGCCUGUCCCUUAGUUAUAGUUAUCGAAGAUUUUCUCAACUUGCUUCUAAGACCUUCUCGCUGAUAAAUAAUAAACGACAAUCAUGGUUAACGUUUGAGCGUCUGUGGACCAGCAACUAAGAAAAUUCAGGCCAGGAGCUUUCCUGGUGACGCAGUGGUUAAGAAUCCACCUGCCAAUGCAGGGGACACGGUUUCGAGCCCUGGUCCGGGAAGAUCCCACAUGCUGUGGAGUAACUAAGCCCGUGCGCCACAACUACUGAGCCUGUGUGCCACAAUUACUGAAGCCCGUGCACCUAGAGCCCAUGCUCCACAAUAAGAGAAGCCACUGCAAUGAGAAGCCUGUGCACUGCAAUGAAGAGUAGCCCCCGCUCGCUGCAGCUAAAGAAAGCCCACGUGCAGCAACAAGGACUCAACACAGCCAAAAAUAAAUAAAUUAAUAAAUU